rnacentral:rRNA from 1 species
GACGAACGCUGGCGGCGUGCUUAACACAUGCAAGUCGAGCGGUAAGGCCCUUUCGGGGGUACACGAGCGGCGAACGGGUGAGUAACACGUGGGUGACCUGCCCUCAGCUCUGGGAUAAGCCCGGGAAACUGGGCCUAAUACUGGAUAUGACUCCAUGACGCAUGUUGUGGGGUGGAAAGCCUUGUGCGGCUGAGGAUGGGCCCGCGGCCUAUCAGCUUGUUGGUGGGGNGAUGGCCUACCAAGGCGACGACGGGUAGCCGGCCUGAGAGGGCGACCGGCCACACUGGGACUGAGACACGGCCCAGACUCCUACGGGAGGGCAGCAGUGGGGAAUCUUGCGCAAUGGGCGAAAGCCUGACGCAGCGACGCCGCGUGAGGGAUGACGGCCUGGUGU